GUAGGUGGCAAGCGUUGUCCGGGAAUUAUUGGGCGUGAAGCGCGCGCAGGCGGUUCUUUAAGUCUGAUGUGAAAGCCCACGGGCUCAACCGUGGAGGGUCAUUGGAAACUGGAGAACUUGAGUACAGAAGAGGAAAGCGGAAUUCCACGUGUAGCGGUGAAAUGCGUAGAGAUGUGGAGGAACACCAGUGGCGAAGGCGGCUUUCUGGUCUGUAACUGACGCUGAGGCGCGAAAGCGUGGGGAGCAAACAGGAUUAGAUACCCUGGUAGUCCACGCCGUAAACGAUGAGUGCUAAGUGUUAGGGGGUUUCCGCCCCUUAGUGCUGCAGCUAACGCAUUAAGCACUCCGCCUGGGGAGUACGGCCGCAAGGCUG
rnacentral:rRNA from 1 species